rnacentral:rRNA from 1 species
GAUGAACGCUGGCGGCGUGCCUAAUACAUGCAAGUCGAGCGAAUGGAUUGAGAGCUUGCUCUUAUGAAGUUAGCGGCGGACGGGUGAGUAACACGUGGGUAACCUGCCCAUAAGACUGGGAUAACUCCGGGAAACCGGGGCUAAUACCGGAUAACAUUUUGAACCGCAUGGUUCGAAAUUGAAAGGCGGCUUCGGCUGUCACUUAUGGAUGGACCCGCGUCGCAUUAGCUAGUUGGUGAGGUAACGGCUCACCAAGGCAACGAUGCGUAGCCGACCUGAGAGGGUGAUCGGCCACACUGAGACUGAGACACGGCCCAGACUCCUACGGGAGGCAGCAGUAGGGAAUCGUCCGCAAUGGAUGAAAGUCUGACGGAGCAACGCCGCGUGAGUGAUGAGGGCUUUCGGGUCGUAAAACUCUGUUGUUAGGGAAGAACAAGUGCUAGUUGAAUAAGCUGGCACCUUGACGGUACCUAACCAGAAAGCCACGGCUAACUACGUGCCAGCCGCCGCGGUAA